UGGGGAAUUUUGCACAAUGGGGGAAACCCUGAUGCAGCGACGCCGCGUGAUUUAGAAGGCCUUCGGGUUGUAAAAAUCUUUUCUAUGGGAAGAAAAUGACAGUACCAUAGGAAUAAGGACCGGCUAAUUACGUUCCAGCAGCCGCGGUAAUACGUAAGGUCCGAGCGUUGUCCGGAAUCAUUGGGCGUAAAGGGUACGUAGGCGGGUAAGCAAGUUAGGAGUUAAAUCCUAUAGCUAAACUAUAGUAAGCUUUUAAAACUGCUCAUCUUGAGGUAUGGAAGGGAAAGUGGAAUUCCUAGUGUAGCAGUGAAAUGCGCAGAUGUUAGGAGGAAUACCGGUGGCGAAGGCGACUUUCUGGCCAUACCCUGACGCUGAGGUACGAAAGCGUGGGUAGCAAACAGG
rnacentral:rRNA from 1 species